rnacentral:lncRNA from 1 species
UCGGUCGACGUUUUGAAUAAUGCAUCGAUCGAUAUUCAUAUAGAAUCAUCGGUUGACACUGGUCAAUAGACGAACCUAGAAAGCGAGAGCCUAGUGGUUCGUUUAUAAGUGUUGAGCUCCACAAUAUCAUGCAUGCAACUUGUUAGGCAUCUAUAGGAUUAUAAUUCCAAAUUUCCUGAAUAGAAAACCCUAAGUCUAGCUAUUUCCUUUUAAGCAC